rnacentral:rRNA from 1 species
UACAGAGGGUGCAAGCGUUGUUCGGAAUUAUUGGGCGUAAAGGGCGCGUAGGCGGUGCGGUAAGUCCGCAGUGAAAUCUCUGGGCUCAACUCAGAGUCUGCUGUGGAAACUGCCGUGCUUGAGUGUGGGAGAGGUGAGUGGAAAUUCCCCGGUGUAGCGGUGAAAUGCGUAGAUAUCGGGAGGAACACCUGUGGCGAAAGCGGCUCACUGGACCACACUGACGCUGAUGCGCGAAAAGCGUGGGGAG